UACGAAGGGUGCGAGCGUUGUCCGGAAUCAUUGGGCGUAAAGGGCGCGUAGGUGGCCCGGUCAGUCUUUGGUGAAAGCGCGGGGCUCAACCCUGCGUCGGCCAGGGAUACUGCCGCGGCUCGAGCACUGUAGAGGCAGGCGGAAUUCCGGGUGUAGCGGUGGAAUGCGUAGAGAUCCGGAAGAACACCGGUGGCGAAGGCGGCCUGCUGGGCAGUUUGGCUGACACUGAGGCGCGACAGCGUGGGGAGCAAACAGG
rnacentral:rRNA from 1 species